CCUACGGGUGGCAGCAGUGAGGAAUAUUGGUCAAUGGACGGAAGUCUGAACCAGCCAUGCCGCGUGAAUGAUGAAGGUCUUCGGAUUGUAAAGUUCUGUGAUGGGGGAUGAACACAAUGACGGUACCCCAAUAGCAAGCCACGGCUAACUACGGGCCAGCAGCCGCGGUAAUACGUAGGCGGCAAGCGUUAUCCGGAAUGACUGGGCGUAAAGGGUGCGUAGGUGGUUUAGUAAGUUGGCGGUGUAAUUCCGGGGCUCAACCUCGGCGCUGCCGCCAAAACUGUUAGGCUAGAGUGCAGGGGGGGUAAGUGGAAUUCCUAGUGUAGCGGUGGAAUGCGUAGAUAUUAGGCGGAACAUCAGGGGCGAAGGCGACUUACUGGACUGUAACUGACACUGAGGCACGAAAGCGUGGGGAGCAAACAGGAUUAGAUACCCCAGUAGUC
rnacentral:rRNA from 1 species